GACGAACGCUGGCGGCAUGCCUAACACAUGCAAGUCGAACGGAGAUUGCUUCGGUAAUCUUAGUGGCGGACGGGUGAGUAACGCGUAGGAAUCUGCCUGGCAAUGGGGGACAACCUGGGGAAACUCAGGCUAAUACCGCAUACGCUCGCGAGAGGAUAGCGGGGGACCUUCGGGCCUCGUGUUGUGAGAGGAGCCUACGUCCGAUUAGCUAGUUGGGAGGGUAACGGCCUACCAAGGCGACGAUCGGUAGCUGGUCUGAGAGGAUGAUCAGCCACACUGGGACUGAGACACGGCCCAGACUCCUACGGGAGGCAGCAGUGGGGAAUAUUGGACAAUGGGCGCAAGCCUGAUCCAGCAAUGCCGCGUGGGUGAAGACGGCCUGCGGGUUGUAAAGCCCUUUAGGUUGGGAAGAAGGUGGGGUUCGAAUAGAGCCUAGCCUUGACAUUACCCACGGAAUAAGCACCGGCUAACUCCGUGCCAGCAGCCGCGGUAAUGUGUG
rnacentral:rRNA from 1 species